GGGCCCGCACAAGCGGUGGAGUAUGUGGUUUAAUUCGAUGCAACGCGAAAAACCUUACCUACCCUUGACAUGUCAGGAAUUUUGCAGAGAUGCGAAAGUGCUCGAAAGAGAACCUGAACACAGGUGCUGCAUGGCUGUCGUCAGCUCGUGUCGUGAGAUGUUGGGUUAAGUCCCGCAACGAGCGCAACCCUUGUCAUUAGUUGCUACGCAAGGGCACUCUAAUGAGACUGCCGGUGACAAACCGGAGGAAGGUGGGGACGACGUCAAGUCCUCAUGGCCCUUAUGGGUAGGGCUUCACACGUCAUACAAUGGUUGGUACAGAGGGUUGCGAACCCGCGAGGGGAAGCUAAUCCCAAAAACCAAUCGUAGUCCGGAUUGCAGUCUGCAACUCGACUGCAUGAAGUCGGAAUCGCUAGUAAUCG
rnacentral:rRNA from 1 species